AUUGAACGCUGGCGGCAGGCCUAACACAUGCAAGUCGAGCGGAUGAUGGGAGCUUGCUCCUGGAUUCAGCGGCGGACGGGUGAGUAAUGCCUAGGAAUCUGCCUGGUAGUGGGGGACAACGUUUCGAAAGGAACGCUAAUACCGCAUACGUCCUACGGGAGAAAGCAGGGGACCUUCGGGCCUUGCGCUAUCAGAUGAGCCUAGGUCGGAUUAGCUUGUUGGUGAGGUAAUGGCUCACCAAGGCGACGACCCGUAACUGGUCUGAGAGGAUGAUCAGUCACACUGGAACUGAGACACGGUCCAGACUCCUACGGGAGGCAGCAGUGGGGAUUAUUGGACAAUGGGCGAAAGCCUGAUCCAGCCAUGCCGCGUGUGUGAAGAAGGUCUUCGGAUUGUAAAGCACUUUAAGUUGGGAGGAAGGGUUGUAGAUUAAUACUCUGCAAUUUUGACGUUACCGACAGAAUAAGCACCGGCUAACUCUGUGCCAGCCGCCGCCGUAACAC
rnacentral:rRNA from 1 species